rnacentral:tRNA from 1 species
GUUUGGAUAGCUCAGUUGGUUAGAGCAAAAGACUGAAAAUCUUUGUGUCGGUGGUUCGAAUCCACCUCUAGACA